ACGGCGCCAUCAUUGCAUACAGUUUUCACCGGGAGACAAGAACAUGGAGCAAGGAGAGGUGUCGGAUCCCCUCGAUGGCGCCUUCAACAAGGAAAAAUCAUACCCGAGGACAUCAUUCGCCAUCCGCUCAGAGCGAAGUUGAACAUGACUUUUGUCGAGGAACCGAGCACCUAUGCCGGGGACGACGUCUCCAACACACCAUCACCAGACCGGAGCAACAGGCGCCACUUGUUGCACCUCAUAGAACUGGUCAGAGCACCACCGGUGACGUCGUGCCAUAGCAACCCGAAGGCCGUCUCAAGACUACGCCACCGCGGACCGCAAACCCGAGUGGAACCACCUCGCACCCGCUGAAAGCAAGUCGCUGGCCGAGCCGCCUCGGGCCCCCCAGCCGCCAGGGCGCCAGAUCCGUUCGUCCUACCAGAUACGGCCACACCCAGCCAGGGACCGCCCACCGCGGGGAUCCCGCGAGUCCGCGUCCUCCCACAGCUUCCCCCAACGGCGACGCGCGUGGUCGCGCUGCCACGGAGCCCACCAGUCGCAGCUGCCCACGACGCCUACACGGCACGCCGCUCGCCGCGCCCGCUAGCGCCUACUCGUCGCGCCCACCGGCGCUUGUCACGCUCGUCCACGCCCGCUCGCCGCGGUCGACGCGCCCCGUAGCUCUCCCCAGCCGAGCAGCCCCGCACUGCCCAGAUCUCGCGAGCGGAAAGGAAGUCCCCGCAGUCGCGCGGGCUUUGCCCGGCGGCGCUUGCCGGCGGCGGCGAGGGGAGGCGAGAUCCGGUCGGGGAGUUGUAGCGGCGGCUAGGGUUUCCGCCCGUGUCGCCCGCGGGGGAGACGACACGAGUCGGGUUUGUCUCUCUUUCUUGGUGUUUGGUUUUGGAAUAGAGGAGAUGGAUGAAGCAUCUUGUUUUAAUUAGAGCAUCUUCAAUCUUUACUCUUAGAGCAUCUCUAACAGCAGCCCUAUAUAAGGCAGCCACUUUAGGUGUUAUAGGGCUACCCUAUUUCUAUUUUAGGGCAGCAAAACGACUGUUGGUUUUCUAGCAGACCAAGAUAGGGCACCACAUUGCUCCAACGACCGCCCUAUAUAGGACACGACUGCGGCCAAACUAUGACUCAACUAUGCAUUUUUGCAUGAAACAACAUCAUAAUUGAGGAAAAAAUUCUAGGAGAAAAGAUUGAAUCAACAUGAACACAAUGUCACGUAAUCAUAGCAUAGUUCAAGCAUACGGUAGUUCAAACAUACGAUAGCUCAUGGUUCAUAACAUAGAAAUAACAACGAGAACAUGAACAACAAACAUAAACUACUCCUCAGUGGUCUUGUCAUUGGUUGCUUCUUUUUCUUCCUCCAUUUUGUCAUUAGGCAUGUUGAUGUUGGUGGUGUAGGCAUUGUUGGUGUUGUUGCUUGCCACCGUAGCACCACUCGUGCCAACUCCAAAGUUUGCACCUCCGUAGCCACCUCCAUAGCCACCUCCAAAGCUCCACAUGCCACCAACUCCACCACCUCCCAUGGCUCCUCCCAUGUAGUCGGCCAUCAUUUGCUUCUUCCUCAACACUUCAUCACGGCACAUCUCCACAUAUGCCUUUGGUUUCUCAUCAAUUGUGUUUUGUCCAUGAACAUGAGUUGACGCUCGAGCUCCAUAGCCUUAUGAGACUCCUCCAUCAUGAGCUUCCUCUCAUCCAUGGCCACAUUCCUAUCCUGGGUCGCCCCAUUUAGCUCCUCGGUCACCGCCUUCCUCUCCUCGGUCGUCGCCCUCCUCUCCUCGUCCGUCGCCAUGCGUAGCUCGGCUUCUUUGAGCUCUUCAAUUUGCUUAAUUUUUAGGGCCUUCCUCUCCUCGUUCAUCUCCUUGCGAGUUGACAUAAAGGCAUCCAAAGAUUUUUGAAUGUCAUCAUCGCCGGCCUUUUUUUCCCUUCAUCUUCUCUUUCGCCGCCUUUCUUCCAUUGGGUCGUAACCUUCCUCUUCGAUCUUCCAUCUGGCGUCGCGUCCGCCUUCGCGUCGGCAGCAACCUUUCUCUUCCCCGGCUUCGUAGCGGCUGCCUUCCUCCUAGGCGGUGCCGGCGGCUUCGCGGCGAGGAUCUGGUUGGGUUCCGCGGCGCCCACCGGUUGAGGCGGCACAAAUUCGGGCCGGGACGAUGGCGGCAUAGGGUUCGCGGCGACGGCGGCGGUGGGGGCUACCGGGGCUGUGGGUGCCGCUGUUCUUCCAUCGGAAGGGUCGACGAGCGUCGGGGGAGGUGUGUUGUUGCCGUCCAUGGCGGGCAUAGUGAUCGCCGAUGGGGCAGGAUGCGGGGAGACGGCGGAGGCGCGACCGCAGGGAAGGUUCAGCAUGGCAGUUGGCUGCGCGCGCGCGUGGCAUUGUGAAUUUGGGGCAGCCCCUUCGGUGCCCCAAAUUUACAUCACUUUGCUACAUUUUAGGGAGUGCCCUAAUUUUUUUUUGGCUGGUGACUUAUUUAGGGCAGCCAUUGGAAACCGAUUUUCAUCGUUUUCUGUCCUACAUAACAGGUUUUAUACAUCCCUGCCCUAUAUAGGGCUGGUGUUAGAGAUGCUCUUAAUUUCUCACUUGAUAGAAUAGCUUUUAGGUUUUUUCAACCUGUUUUAUUUCAUCUCCCCCACCCCCUCAUGUGUAAUGCAAGCAAAAAAAAAAACCAUAGAAGUACACAAAAAACAUACUACCAUUAAUCCUAUACUAGAUACGGAGUUGUCUCCAUCUCGCCGUCUUCACGCCCCCGUCUUCGCGCUGCCAUCUUCACGGGAUCGCCAUGCCGCCGUCCUCUUCUCAGCACGGCGCCAACGUCUUCAUGAUGCGCCAAUGUCUUCACGCACUGCCGCGAUCUCCUGUCAUCUUACGCUGGUAGGAGGCGUCCGGGAUCAAGGUCGUCGUCUUCACUGACGUACUAUAUUGAGUGUCGCGUCGCCGUCUUUCCACUGCGUUGCCGUUUUCACGCGCCACCGCUGAUCUCGGAGCCGCGAUCUCCUGCCAUUUUCCGCUGCCGUGAGGCGUCCGGGAUCCAGCCUGCCGCGGACAUACAAAUCAACACGACAGGUAUGCUGAAUCAAAAAAUCGCAUUUUUGCUGAGAUUGUAAUUUUAUCAAUUGUAAUCUGCUACUAUGCACCGACAUUCUACUAUGCAUGGCAAUAACAUUGUAUAACAACAUGAAAAUUUGCAAUUUUUGGAUCAGGAAAUAGCACCAGAUUAACUUAUCACAUGAGGUUACCAAUGAAAUAGCACCUAAAAAGUAUAAAAGAAAAUAUUGCUCACUUGUGAACAAGUUUGAAAUAAUAUCAAUCCCAUAAAUAAUGGUAAUACAGUUUGCAAAAUACUAUUGCAAUAUAAAUAAGUAGAGAAGGCAUACGCAGAUACACUACAUCAAAAAAUGGAGAUUUCGCUUCUGUUUGCAUGAGAGGUGCUAGUAUUUUACCUCUGCAAGCCAACCCCAUGGUUGUACCCAACAAUAUAAAAUCUGCAGAAAUGGAAAAAUGUUAGACACAGUGGCGGACCUAGAGAAUAUUUUGAAUGGAGGCAAACUAUUUGAGUGGGGGCAUGUUCUUUAAAAAAUCAACGAAUUUAAGCAUAUUUUUCAAAAACCACAAGCAAAUAUUGCUGCAGUUUCAAAUUUUGAGUGGGGCCUAGGCCCCCACUCACCUCAACAUAGGUCCGCCCCUGGUUAGACAUGAUUGGCAACUUAUUGGACAACGCCAACCUGGACUGAUGGACGACUUAUUGUUGCUUGAUUUACAAGCUUCGUAAGAAAUCAUAAUAAAAAGUAUUCAAAAAAAAAUUACUGACUUAGUUCACCGAUAGUAGAGUGCCCAUAUGUGAAUGGAUAAAAUAUUACUAAAAGCUAAAAACAUAUUUAGUUGAUUUUGUACAGGAUGCACGCAUCAACAACAUUCUUAUUUUAUACAUGAGGCACACAUCAGUAUGUUGGAGAUCCCUUUUGUUUUGCCUAAAUAUUUAUUUGAUGGACAACACUUAAAUAUGAGUAAGAUUUGUUGUGUUGUUCAUUGAUAGGUACAUAUGGGUAAUCCACACAGCAAGGCAACAGAACAAAUGCCAGCGUUAGAUGUCCCUCUAUGUUCAACUAUAGAAAUUGCUAUUCAUGUUAAUUACCAUCACAUACUCGUAAUGACAUAGUGAGUUCUUGAGGUGUUAGAGGUCUGAUGAAUGGGACAAAUUUUGGCGAGUACUCCCACAGAUUACACCCGUAGCUAACGUUGUUGACGAGAUCAACCCCAGCGUUCCACGUAUAAGGCUGUGUAUAUAUAGCUAUCAUAUUUUUCCAUUGUUGUACUAUUUUACGUGAUCAAUCAUACAUAACAUACUUGUACACGCACACCAUGUCUAAUGUAUCAAGCAUGUGACCUGCAGGAAUUCAUAGUACUCCCUCGAAACGGGUGAUACUUGAACUGAUCGAACAACCAGUUCUACAUUUGAUUUCAGGUAAAUAUGUGGCAUAAUUAUUCGUUAUAGGAAUAUAAUUGAAUUUGUUGGGAUAUCAGUAAACUUACUCGUUAUGUCACAUAUUUGUUAUUUUUAGAUGAUGCAGGCAACCCAGCAGUCUCAGACAUGCAUAAUGAAGCUUCAUUGUCGGCUAUGAGUAAUCUCGUGCAACAUUAUGCCAGAGAUGUAGCACAAAGUUCAUAUGGUAUUACCUGAUACGUCUUUGAUAUGAUUGUGCUUACAUGGGAUUUGUUUUCCUAUAUUAACCCAUCUUUUUUAGGAAUGCAUAGUACUCCCUCACAAUGGAUGAUACUUGAACAGACCAAACAACCAGCUGUACCCCAACACACUGAUGAUCAUAUCACAAAUGUUAAUCAUACUUAUCAUUUAAUUGUAGAUAAGUAUUAAAUGCAUAGAAUAUGUUUUUUUAGUUAGGAUAACAACUAACUUGUUGGUUGUCAUACAUAACGAUGGAGAGUGUUGGAAAUAUGAGCAAUUUACCAAAGGAUUUUAUUAAAAGAAAAGCUAGGAUAAACCUAACCAUCAUAACUAAGACGGAAGAAGACAUGCAAUAUAGAGAUGAAAUGACAGAAGACAGGUGCAUAUAUGAUCUAGAAAAAAACAUAUGCAUAACCGUUCUACAUAGACAAGGUACCAUAGGAAGUGAUGAGCAAACACGGUACAUACCUAAAAAAGAUACUAUAGCAAAAAAGUUGCGAUAGAAACUGAAAGAAGAAGAACAUGAGUACGUACUGAGUUGCAGCAGCAGGAUUGGUGUUGGCGUUGUCGUUGGCCAUGUUACCAGAGAGGUGGUCGACGUCAGGGAAGUAGUCGUCGCCCGGGAAGAAAUCGUCGGUGUCCGUGAUGGAAGCCAGUAGUCACGCUGAGCGCUCCCCAAAAACCUUAUCGUCCUUCUCACGUAUAGGACUCGAAGAGAUGGAGUUUCGGAGGCCUACUAUCCCGACGAACGGUGCACGCCGCAAGACGGGAUGAGGAAGAACGUAGCAGCAGCACAGAGAAAGGAACCGGUGGCGAGAGGAACUUCUGAUGCGCACUUCUGGAGAGGAGCGACCUCUCUUUUAUAGGCGCAGGAGAAGAAGGCGAGAGACCAGAGCCGAAGAGAACGACGGGAUACGAAACGAACAGACUGCAGCGUUCGUUUUCAAUAUCCACUAGCAAAACAUUCAGCUUCUUUGAGUGGACUUUUAAAUACCAGUCGUGCGUGGCAAAAAUUUAGUUCGGCUCGCCUCAUUCCCGCAACCCGCGGCGCGUCGUGACGAGGCGGGCGGCGGAGGAGGAGCGCGCGUGUAUGUCUCCAUUGUUCUCAAGCUCAUACAUGUGUGGAAACAUCCUCCCUUAUAAGGAGGUCCAACUCCCACUAAACUAGCAAUGUGGGACUAAAUAUUUCCACCUCUUGCCUUGCACAAAUGGGUUGCAUGGGCCUCUAGGAUUUAUUAGGAAUUAUAUAUUGGGUUGGCCCAAAUAAUUGAAUAAAAUUCUAGCACAGAGAACCCAUCAAUCUCAGUCAUACAUAAUGAAGCUUCGUUGCCGGCUACCAGAGAUCUCACACGGGUUUGUGCCGCGGACAUAGCAUAAAUUUCAAAUGGUAUUAUCGCAUAAUGAUAACCCACAAGUGUANNNNNNNNNNNNNNNNNNNNNNNNNNNNNNNNNNNNNNNNNNNNNNNNNNNNNNNNNNNNNNNNNNNNNNNNNNNNNNNNNNNNNNNNNNNNNNNNNNNNNNNNNNNNNNNNNNNNNNNNNNNNNNNNNNNNNNNNNNNNNNNNNNNNNNNNNNNNNNNNNNNNNNNNNNNNNNNNNNNNNNNNNNNNNNNNNNNNNNNNNNNNNNNNNNNNNNNNNNNNNNNNNNNNNNNNNNNNNNNNNNNNNNNNNNNNNNNUGAUAACCCACAAGUGUAGGGGAUCGCAACAGUUUUCGCGGGUAAGUUAACCCAAUUUAUUGAUUCGACACAAGGGGAGCCAAAGAAUAUUUAUAAGCUUUAGUAGUUGAGUUGUCAAUUCAACCGCACCUCAAAGAUACUUGCUUGGCAACGAAAUAUUAGUAGCAACUGUGAUAUGGAGGUGAUGGUGGCAACGGAAAUAAUGGUGGAAAAGCAACGAAAGUAAAGCUACUUGUGACCAGCAGGAUUAAAACACUUUAGGCUAAGGAGAUGGAUGGUUGGUCAUGGACGAGAGAUAUCAUGUAUUUAACUUGGGGCAAGGCACAUAGAAAAGUAAUGAUCAUCUAGGCAUAUAUCAAACAUUAGGCAUGUAUCCCGAGGUAGUCGUGCGUGCUUGCAAUAAGAACUUGCACAACAUCUUUUGUCUUACCAUCCCGCUAUCAACGGGGCCAAAAGGAACUUAUGGAUAUUAAGGUGCUCCCGUCAAAGAGCACCGGAACAAGGCAUUAACAAUCAACGGAUACAUGGAAUCCUCAAACUAUAGUCUAUCCCCUUUGGGGUCCCAAGCUGUCACCAUUGGGAUCGCCGGUUUCGGACUAUAAUAGGUGCAUACUACUCAUAGAUAGGAUCUAGAACACAAAUAUAUUCAUGAAAACAUAAGGUAUUCAGAUCUGAAAUCAUGGCACUCGGGCCCAACGUGACAAGCAUUAAGAGUAACAAGUAGUAGCAAAGAUGAUAAACACCAUAGUAGAUGAUAGGCAACAUGCCCCCAGUAAUCCGACGAACUAUUACAUGAUCUAACUCAUCCAGCCUCUCCCAUCCCCUUCACCUACAUCAGGGAAUUACUCACACAUGAUGGGAGAAUCCAUGGAAGGAUGAUGGAGUGGUGAUGGUGAUGACGAUGGCGACGAUUUCCCCUCUUCGGAGGCCAAAACAGCCUCCAGAUUAGCUCUCCCGAAGAAGAACCGAGGGUGGCGGCGGCUCCGCGUCGAGAACUUGCAAAACGACUUCUGUUCUGGAAUUUCCUCGUCACGGGUAAAAAUAAGAGCCAAAGUAGGGCACUAGAGGGGGUGGGACCCACCCAGGCGGCCUCCCGGUGCGGCCAGGGGGCAGACCGCGCCAGCAGGUCGCCUGGGGGCCCUGUGGCUCCCCUCUGGCCCAUCGUCUGGCCCAUGGUUCCUCCCGGUGCGUGGGUUUUCUCUAUUUUUAUGGGAAUUUUCCGGGACGUCUAAAUAUCCAUUUUCCUGCGCACAAGAAAACCAUACAAACAGCUCUGCUGAAAACAGCGUCAGUCCGGGUUAGUUUCAUUCAAAUCAUGCAAGAAUGAGUCCAAAACAAUAGCAAACGUGUUUGGAAAAGUCAAUAUGUUUGAGACGUAUCAACUCCCCCAAGCUUAGCAUAUUGCUUGUCCUCAAGCAAUUCAGUUCAACAAACUGAACGCGACAAAGAAAACUUUGACAAACUCUUUUGCUUCAUCAGAUGUAUAUAAACAUGCACUACGAACAAGUCCAACAAGUAUUGAAGUAAUGCUACAAAGACAAUGCACGAAGCAAUCCUUCGAUCAUGUGAAGAGUUUCAAACAACUGAGAAAAGAAUAAUAUGUAACUAAAAAUCAUAACAAGGUCACAAUGCACAUGACUUGGAUAUACUGGAGUGGUAUCUCGCUAGCUCUCAAGAGUGAAGCAAAACAUAAAUGCAAACGCUCCUUUGGAGUACUAAAGGAGACUAGAAAUAAAUAAUUCAGAAUAAGCAAUAUCACAAUCAUGCAGAAGACAAUGUGUUGCUUUGGGACAAUGCACAUUACACUGAGAAUGACAAUUAUGCUCUCUAUAGUUAGUGCUUUUUAGAAGAAGAGAACGACUCAACAGAAAAGUAAAAUAGAUAGGCCCUUCGCAGAGGGAAGUAUUGAUUUGCAGAGGUGCCAGAGCUUGAGCUGUAAAACAGAGAUAAAUCAAAAAUUUGGUCGAUAUGCUUUCACUGUCAACGUAACAACUAAGUGAUCUCAAUAUCUUCCAUGCUAAAUACAUUAUAGGUGGUUCUCAAACAGAAAAGUAAAGUUUUAACUCCCCCUCCAUCAAUCGAUCACACUCCACGGCGGGCCGAAUCCACGAGUACCGUCCAUACAAACAACAAUCAUGGGGGAGUUUUGUUUCAUUAAAUUUGAUUUGACUUUGAGCAUGGAACUGGGCAUCCCGGUUAUCGGCCACUUUCUCGUGAAUGAUAGUGAAUCAACACAUAUCUUGAGAAUAACCUACUUAGCAUGAAAGAUACUGAUAGCCCCUAGUCAUUUCAUGAGCGAUUCGGGUAUACAAAACAAAAUAUUUAUUUGAAAAUUUAGAACAUGGCACAUGCAAAUUUACUUAGGAUGACACAAAAAUACCGCAUAUAUGUAGGUAUGGUGGACUCAUAUGGCGCAACUGGUUUUAAGGAUUUUGGAUGCACAAGCAGUUAGUCCGCUUAGUACACGCGAAGGCUAGCAAAAGACGGGGAAGCGACCAACUAGAGAGCAAUAACGGUCAUAAUCAUACAGAGCGACAAACCAACAUUGAAUCGGGCAUGAAAGCGAUAUAACUAUUCUGAAAUAAAAAGAUCGUCAAGGCUUGAUAAACUUCUAGUCAUAAACAUGUGUAAGCAUGUGCCAAGUCAAUACAAAAACUCUUCGAAGGGAAAUACCACUCUAAUAUGCCAAACCAUGAACAAUGCAAUGCAUGCUAAACAUUUCAAUAACACAUUAUGCACUCCAGACACUUGAGACUAGUCACGAAGAAAGCAUGAACUACUGGGAGAGCAUUGUAAUCACAACACUAUGUCGCUACAAGAUGGUCACUAGAUCAAAAGUACAUGCAUAUGUACAAAAGUAGAAACAAAUAGAGUUCAUACCGGCUUUUCUUGUUACAUUCCUUUCGUUGAUCUUCGUCAUUAUUGCAUCGUCACUUGCACGAUCGAACAUAGAAAGAUAUAAUCAAGUGCAAUUGCAACAAUGGAUGUGAGCUGAACUCUGCAAACAAAGCAAACUAAAGAGAGAAAAGAAAUCUUUUUGGGUUUUCCAAAGGUUAAACGAAAUGAAAAGAAAAGAGAAAUAUUUUUGUUGUUUUUGCAAAGAAAGAACAAAGAAGAACAGGCAAAAACUCUGAAAAGACUUAAAGGGAAACUACGGAUGAUACAAUGAAAGGGGAGAACGAUACGUACUUCCCCAAGCUUAGGCUUUUGGCCUAAGUUGAGCUCGGCUACUGCGGGCUCCAGGAGCUUCCUCCGGCUAUGGGGUGGUACUGGUGGCUCCAAGAAUCAUACGAGGCCUCGGGCGCGUACACUGAUGCCUGACUGGCCUCCCAAGGAGAAGGCUCUUCUUCCUCGGGAACAACCUCCUCCGUGGGGUUGUGGAAUUGAUGCUGGAUCACGAACUCGUCCAGCUCAAUCGAGGUGAAAGAUCACCCGUUCCUGCUAGUGUAAUCAAACAAAAGUGGUGCAGGAAGACGGAUAUCGCGAGUAGUAAGCUCGCCAAAUCUCAUAAUAUAAACAAGGUUACCAAACUCAGAAGUCCUAGUAACAAACUCAUGCCUCUUCAUAGCGGUAAGAUCAAAGCUUAUGAAUGAAAAAGGCGUAUCAUGCGUGCGCACAGUGCGCCCGAGGUGCUCGAGGAUAAGCGUAGCAUAAAUGCCACCAAAGUGAGGCCCUUUGCCGCUGUUAGCGACGAGGCGACGAGCAAUCAAAGCACCAAUAUUAUACGUGUUAUCUCCUAAGAGGGCGGCUGACAAGAUAGCGAGAUCUGGAGCCGAAAUGUUACUCGUGUUGUCACGAGCUAGCACCCUCGAGCAAUAUAGUAUGAGAAAUGCCUGAUGUGAGGAAACAAGAUGUUGGAGAUCUUCCCCCGGUGAAUUUCUCGCGGGUCCUUACUGCAAAGGGAAGCGAAUAGGGAUUUCAGCUCGUAUGGCUGAACGUUCAUUUUGGUCGUCUUCCCGACAUUCCGCACACCUAUAAUAUCACCAAAUUCUGACAAAGACAUGGUAAAGACAUCCUCAUAUAAUCUGAAUUCAAUCAUGGAAGUUUUAUCAUGAUAUCUAAACCAGUUAACAAAAUAAUAGGUGAGUUUUGGAUAUUGUUGCACACGUCGUGUUACGAGAUGUGUCAAACCUGCAGUUGCACAGAGGUUAUCAAACUCAUCCUUAAUACCUGCCGCCAUAAGGAAAUCUGAACACGGGUAUUUCAUGCACGUGUUGUGUCCGUCUCGUGGAACAACUCCGGUGGCACGAUAUCAUCAUUGUAACUUGUCCUCACAGUAGAGGAUGAAGCUGCAGCUCUAGUUAGUCUAUCAGUAGGAUCGGGUCUCUUCUUCCCAAGCCAUCCUUUUGCUUUUACAAACAAGCUCAUUUCUGAAAAUUGUGGUUCAUCACAAAAAUGGAGGUUUAAGCAAAAAUGAGUUGGAGCAAACUAUUCUACUCACUUCCCUCAUGCAUAAACUUGCAUCAAAACUUCACAAAUAAACUUCUAAGCAUGCAUGCAAGCUCAUAUGAACAACACCAGAAACUCCUAAAUACUCACAAAUAAGACCACCAAUCAAAAUUUUAAUUGGAGGAGUGGAGGAGUCACAUACCACGGAGCAAAUGCUCAAAUUCUCAAUGCAAAUGAUAGUCUAUAGAGAGAGAUCGAAGUUUGACACCAAGAACAUCAAGAAAUCGAGCUCCAAGAGAAAAAUCGGGAUUUUUGGAGUGAGAGAGAGAGAAGGGAGGAAGAAGUGCCUCGAAAGGAGCCCAGGUGGGCCCAGGCGACCUGUGGGUGCGACCAGGGGGCAGGCCGCGCCAGCUGGCCGCGUGGACCAAGGGUGCCCCCUGGCUAGCUCCAAGUUCCCCUGCGUCUCUAUUUCGAUGAAAAUUUUUAUUUUUAUUUUUCUGGAAUUUUUCUGACAACUUCACUUUUGAAAAAAAAUGAAAUAGUGAAAGCUGCAAAACUUCCGGAAAGCUCGAAACAAUGGUUAAACAUAUUAAGCUUCAAAAACAUGAAACUUUGGUACAAUAAGGAGGAUGAAAGAUAAAUGAAAUGAAAACAUAACAAGCUUCUCUUUUUACUCAUAUAAAACAUAUUUGUUAGCAAGGUUGAUCAAGUCCUACUACCAAAUAGGUUUUAUAUUUGAGCAAAAAGUUUCACUUCUUAUAAAGCAAUUAUGGUACCUUUAUUUUAAUGGAUAUUGUCCCCACCAUAAUGGUUUUGUAUUUGUGGUACACAUGUAGAGGAAAAUCCCACUCUCCAACCUUCACGGUCUCAAUAUUCUCAAUAGAAUUAAGGCCAUGCCUUUUAUCAAUUUUCUUUGGAAAAUAUACCAUGUGCUCUUUCUCAUUAACAUUGAAGGUCACCAUUCCUUUAUUGCAAUCAACAAUAGCACCUGUAGUUUUAAGAAAAGGUCUACCAAGAAUAAUAGACAUGUUCCCGUCCUCGGGCAUGUCAAGCACAACAAGGUCAGUAAGGAUCAAGCAAUUAGCAACUUCAAUGGGAACAUCCUCACAAAUACCUACAGGAACGGCUGUUGACUUAUCAGCCAUUUGAAGAGAUAUAUCUGUAGGGAUUAGUUUAUCUAGACAAAGACUUUUGUAAAGAUAGAAAGGCAUAACACUCACUCCUGCACCAAGAUCACAUAAAGUAGUCCUGACAUAAUUAUUGUUUAUGGAGCAAGAAUGGUGGGUAUACCUGGAUCACCAAGCUUCUCAGGAAUCUUGCCACUGAAAGCGUAAUUAGAAAGCAUAGUAGAUAUUGCCUCAUUAGGAACUUUUCUUUUAUUAGUGACAAUAUCUUUCAUAUACCUCGAGUACGGAGGCAACUUAAUAGCAUCGGUCAAAGGAAUUUGAAGAAAAGGAGGUUUCAUCCAUCCACAAAAUUUAUUGUAAUGCUCUUCUUCUUUAGUUUUGAAAGACUUACGUGGAAAGGGCAUUGAUUUUUGUACCGAUGGUUCUCUUUCCUUUCCAUGUUCUUUUGCAACAAAAUAUUCUCUAGUAUACCUCUUGCGCUUGUUGGAUGCUUCUUCUUCUCGUAUCUCAGGAGGAUCAAUCUUCUCAUUAUCUUUAUCAGGUUCAGCACCAUCUUCAGUUUCAGCAUCGGAAAUAGAUAUACUAUUAGGAUCAACAAUAGGUUCUUCAUAAAUUAUGGGGUCAUUGGAGUUGUCAGCAUCCUUGUGUUUCUUCUUCUUCUUCGGGGAGCUGACAGUGUCUUCUUCCUGCAAUUGAGAAUCUUGCUCGAUCCUCUUUGGAUGCCCCUCCGGAUAAAGGGGGUCCUGGGUAUGUGUACCUCCUCGGGUCUUUAUACCAUAUGCCUGCGUAUCAACUUGUUUGAUUGUUAGCAAGCAAAUCUUUUUGCACAUUAGAAAUUUGUUCAAGCUGAGUUUGAACCAUAUGAAAAUGCUUAGAAAGACCUUUAACAUCAUUAACAGUUCUACUUAAAACAUCAAACAAACUUUUGAUAGCAAGGGAAUUAUCAUGCAAUUGGCUUUGAAGCCGCUCAUUAAAGUGAUUUUGCUUGACAAUGAAAUUACCAAGCUCAUCUAAACAUUGAUCAGGAGGCUUACCAUGAGGGACGUCACUUGCAUUGAAUUCUAAAAGAGAGUGUACCUCUACCAUAGGUGGGUGAGUGGUAGGCUCACAUAAUUCCUCAAUAGGAGGUAUAUUCUUCACAUCUUCAGUUUUAAUACCUCUCUCUUUCAUAGACUUCUUGGAUUCUUGCAUAACUUCUGGGCUCAAGAAAAGCAUACCUCUCUUCUUGGGUGAUGGAGGUGGUUCAAGAACGGACCAAUCAUCAUGAUUCUUAGUUAUCUUGCCCAUUAAUUCUUCGGCAUCGUCCGGCGUUCUUUCCCUGAAAACACAACGAACACAACUAUCCAGAUAGGUUCUAGAUUCAUCGGUUCGACCAGCAUAAAAUAUAUCAAGCAAUUCAUUCUUAGGCAUUCCAUAUACCGGUCUACCCUUAAGCAAAGUGCAAUACCCCCCCCCCCCCCNNNNNNNNNNNNNNNNNNNNNNNNNNNNNNNNNNNNNNNNNNNNNNNNNNNNNNNNNNNNNNNNNNNNNNNNNNNNNNNNNNNNNNNNNNNNNNNNNNNNNNNNNNNNNNNNNNNNNNNNNNNNNNNNNNNNNNNNNNNNNNNNNNNNNNNNNNNNNNNNNNNNNNNNNNNNNNNNNNNNNNNNNNNNNNNNNNNNNNNNNNNNNNNNNNNNNNNNNNNNNNNNNNNNNNNNNNNNNNNNNNNNNNNNNNNNNNNNNNNNNNNNNNNNNNNNNNNNNNNNNNNNNNNNNNNNNNNNNNNNNNNNNNNNNNNNNNNNNNNNNNNNNNNNNNNNNNNNNNNNNNNNNNNNNNNNNNNNNNNNCCCCCCCCAAGCUUUAGGGAGGUGCUCAUCCUGCAACUGUUUAAAGUUAUAUAUUCUUUGUAAAGCAGAAUGUUGCUUAUGAGGAGGAAAAUAUUUAGCAACAAAAGAUUGAGCUAAAUCUUGAGGACUCUUAAUGAAACCACAUGGUAGUGCAUCAUACCAUGCUUUAGCAUCUUCCUUGAAAGAGAAAGGAAGUAGCUUAGUAACAUAAUAAUUUCUCUUCUUGCCCUCUGUAGUGAAUAAGCCACCCAACUCAGUGAGUUUUGUAAGGUGUGCAAUAGCAUUGUCAUCUUCUCUGCCAUAAAAAGGGUCAGCUUCAACUGUGGAUAUAAGUGAAAGAUCGACAGAGGAAUCAAAAUCAGCAUCCUCAAUGCAAAUAGGAGAUGAAGCAAACUUAGGAUCAGGAGUAAACUUGUUCUUCAUAGAAUGCUUUUCAAGCAGCUUCUUAACAGAACAGGGUCAGAGUCAGCACACUCUAUAAGUUCCCUGCAUAAAUCAUCAUCAAGUUCAAUAUAAUCAUCAUCAAGAAUUCUUUCCUUGAGACCACUCAAGUUUGGGUAACCAAAAGAUCUACCAAUGGGGUAGUGAUAACCCACAAGUAUANNNNNNNNNNNNNNNNNNNNNNNNNNNAGCAGCAACUCUAGCAAUUUGUGCAUCAAGGAAUGCACCUAGUGGCAAAGCAGUAUCAAGCAUAGCAUCAUCAGGCAAAGCAGUAUCAAGCAUAGCAUCAUCAGGCAAAGCGGUAUCAAGCAUAGCAUCAUCAUAAGCAUCAUGGGCAGCAGAAGUAGCAUCAUCAAGCACAAGCGACAUAUCAAGAUUUCUAGCAGGAGGUGAUGUCGGAAACUUACUCAUAACUGAAGGUGAAUCAGGUGCAGAGCUAGAUGGCAGUUCCUUACUUGUCCUCGUAGUUGAGGGCAAGACUUUAGUUCUUGGAUCUAUCGGAUUCUCAUAGUGACCAGCAGAUGUAAAUCCCAAGUGACUCAGAGAAUAUAGCUGUGCUUCCCCGGCAACGGCGCCAGAAAAAGAUCUUGAUAACCCACAAGUAUAGGGGAUCGCAACAGUUUUCGAGGGUAGAGUAUUCGACCCAAAUUUAAUGAUUCGACUCAAGGGGAAGCGAAAGAAUAUUCUCAAGUAUUACCAGCUGAGUUGUCAAUUCAACCACACCUGAAAGAUUUAGUGUCUGCAGCAAAGUAUCGGUAUCAAAGUAGGGUGAUAGCAGCAGUAGCAACAGUAACCAAUAGCAGCAAAGUAACAGCAGUAGCAACAGAGUAACAGUAGCAGCAGUGACAACAGUAACAACAAAGUAACGUAGCAAGGACCAGUAGUAAAAGACUCGUAGGCAUUGGAUCGGUGAUGUAUGAUUAUGCCGGAUGUGAUUCAUCAUGCAACAGUUAUAACACGGAGAGAUAAGUAACUAGCUUCAGUUCGUCAAUCUAAUGUAGGCAUGUAUUCCGUAUGUAGUCAUACGUGCUUAGGUAAAAGAACUUGCAUGACAUCUAUUGUCCAUCCCUCCCGUAGAAGCGGGGUCCUAAUGGAAACUACGGGAUAUUAAGGUUCUCCUUUUAAUAAAGAACCGGACCAAUGCAUUAACACUUGGUGAAUACAUGAACUCCUCAUACUAUGGUCAUCUCCGGGAGUGGUUCCGACUAUUGUCACUCCCGGGUUGUCGGGUCAUAACACAUAGUAGGUGACUACAACUUGCAAGAUAGGAUCUAAAACACACAUAUAUUGGNACAAGCAUUAAGCAUGGCCAACUAGUAGCAACAUCAAUCUAGAACAUAGUGGAUACUAGGGAUCAAUCCCCGUCAAAAACUAACUCGAUUACAUGAUACAUCUCAUCCAACUCAUCACCGUCCAGCAAGCCUAUGAUGAGAUUACUCACGAACGAUGAAGAGCAUCAUGGAAUUAUCGAUGGAGAAAGGUUGAUGAUGACGAUGGCGACGAUUUCCCCUCUCCGGAGCCCGAAAGGGACUCGAGAUCUGCCCUCCAGAUGAAGAACAGGAUGUGGCGGCGCCUCCGUAACACAAAACGCGAUGAAACCUUCUUUCUGAUUUUUUUUCCGGGCGAGACUGUGACAGAUCGAUGCCGACGUUCCAGAAGAUUCCCCUCUCUUUUCGUUUUCGUCGUGUGUCUAUUUUCUUUUGUCGCAUCAUCAUCGCAUCAUGCAUAUCAUCUGCAUUGCAUCGACAUCUUCGUUGCCGCCCGUUUUCAAAACUUGCAUCCGUUGUUAGUUGCCGGUUCGCUUCGUUGUCCGUUCUGAGCCCGACCGCACACGCACGCGCCCGCGGCACCGUCGAAACCCUGUUUUUAAAGUGGUGUUAAACUUUCUCUGAUCGGGGUGAAACUUGGCAUGCGGUCGUAAUUAGUUAUAGCCAGGCCGCCUGUCGAAUUUCGUCGUGAUCGGAGUUCGUGUGGUGCCCGAACGGUCGACCGUAGCGGCACCGUAUUCGGUCUACCGUCGGACGUUUGUCGGUGUGUUAAAAUUCGUUGCCGCGCCGCCAGUUCUCCCUCUCGUCUCCGGUAAACCACCCUACACGGCCACGUACCCAUUCCCGCAUGCGGAAUCGUCCGAAUCCGACCGCACGGUUGGAUCCGGAACGCGAUUCCGGUUAACCGAGCCCCUCUUUUCUCUAUAAAUACCCCCUCCACCAUAUUUUUAGACAUCCCCUCUCUCUCUCCUCGAAAACCGUGCCCCGAAACCCUAAUCCGACCUCUCUCUCCUCCCACCACCCACCAGCCGCCGCAGGCCCGCCGAGCCCAGAUCGGGCCCGGGCAGGCCCAUCCGGCCGUCGCCGCCCUCGUUCUCCUCCCUGCGUCGAGCUCUUUCUCUCCCUGCCCCGAGAGCCCUAGUCGGAGGUCGCCGGAGCCCUCGCCGGACGUCGCGCCGCUUGCCGGAAGUUCGCCGGAGGACCCGAGCCGGCCGCCCCCGCUCCUCCUCGGUGUGCCGCCGGCAUCACGAGCCCCCUGCACCUUGUCUCUCGCCACCAAGGGGCCGGUCGCCAUGGGUAUCUUCGCCCAAGCGCCGCUGCCUCUCGCCGCCGGCCGGCUCGAGUUCCGCCGCCAACGGAUCGGGCCGGAUCCGCGAUCCCUGUUGCCGGAUCCGCCUUUCCCGCCUGCCUCCGUCCCCGGCCGCCUGCCGGAGCCUCGCCGCGCCGCCUCUGGUUCCCGCUCGGGAGGAUCCCGACGGGGAACCGCCUCGCCUGCCGUACGCCAGAGCCAGGCCGGCCCAGCGCUGCGCCUCGGCCCAGCUCGCCGCUCCAGCAGGCCUCCUCCAGCGCCAGCCCAGAUCGGUGGCCCACCUUGAGGCCGCCUCCUCCUCUACAAGCCGACCCAAGAGGACCCCGAGGUGAGCUAUCCCUUGCCCCUGCGCUGAUUAGUUAGGUAGUGCCCAUGCCGCUGUUGGCCCAAUCAGUUUAGAUUCGGCCCGUAGAAUUUUUAGGUUUUUUUCUGUGAAUUGGGAUUUUCAGAAAAAUAGCUAAAUAUUAAUUUGCUCGUAACUUUUUAACCGUGUGUCGGAUCGAGACGUGCAAUAUAUGGUUUUUGUGUAGUUUCGCGCGUAGAAUACGUUGGUGCAACUUGCAUAAUUAUUUAACGUAGUUUAACGUGCCAAAUGCAUCGUUUUGCAUGCUGUUUCAAUAGGAUCCGUUCCGUAGUUAUUUUCUAGUGCGUGUCCGGAUUGCCCGUAUACCGUAGAUUAAAUGUCCAUGUUUUAGGGACCCUUAAUCCAUGUAUUUUAGAGCGGUCAUUUGUAUUUUUGCGUAUAGGGAAUUGCCUCUAGUUUAUUUUCCCGUAUAUAGGCAAUUUAUCUCGCAUUUAUGAGUGGCUAUAUUUUGUAUUGCAACCCCACAUAUUUUAUAUGUUUCCGGGGUAGAAAAAUUCAUUGGAUUUUUCUGUGCAAUUAGUUUUAACAUUAGAGCAAGUUGGUUCACGCGAUAUUUUGCCGUGAUGCCCUUUUGUUUAAUUCGUAGGAUUUAUUCGGUGCUCCGUUUGAUUAAGUUGUCAACUAGGGAGUUGUUCUUGGGUGUUUAGACUAGUCCCUGGUAUUUUUAGUUGCAAUAGAAAUGCAUGUUUAGGUGUGGUUUGAUUACUCUCAAGUUGCUAGAAAUAGUGCCGUUUUAGAGGAGCUGAAAUAUUUCUAAGUCUGGAAUAUGUUAUAUUUUGUUGCUGUCUUGUCUUGCUUGUAUCUUUAGAUCUGUAGCUCUUUUGAGGUUGGUCCAAUGGAGUUAGUUGUACCCCUUGUGUUUCUAUAGCAUGCUGUAAAUUUCAUGCCAUCUGGAGUCCUGUAGCUAUAGGUUUUGCUGCUGUCAAUAUAGCUUUAGAUCGAAAACUGCACUUUCAUGAGGUGUGAUUUUCACUAAGUCUGAAAUAGUGUGUGAGAUGCCAUUUUGUGUCUUCUUUUCCUAGUGCUCCUUGCUGCCAUGCUAGUUGUUGUUAGUUGUUUGUAGUAGUGCUUCUUGCCCUCUUCCGUGCUAUGCCUUGCUUGAGCAUAUCGGAGUUGUGUAGCCGUAGUUGUGGGGCGUAGAAAAUGCUAUGUGGCUGAUUUUGGCAGAUUGUAAUGUUUUCUUGUUUUGCUCAUAGUUUUUGAACCGUAUCUCCGAUUUGAUCGUGUCCUAUAUGAAACUUGCUUAGGAUCUCGUAUAGUUUCAUUUUCUCUUGCUGGUUGUAAGUUUUGAAGUGCUCGUGGCCGUCGUUGCACACAUUUUGCAUUCAUGCCAUCAUAUCUUGCGGUGCUUAUAUCUUUUAAACCGUACCUCCGUUGGAUAUGUUCUUUAUGUGUAAAUUGCUUGCCUUGACGCGUAGAAUUACGUGAACCUAUUUGUUCUGCUAUUUUACAACUAAUUAAAUGUGUUAGUUCAGAUCUGGACAGAAUUAUAAAUUAACAUGUGAGGUCGUUUCGGAGAUGCUAUAUGUCAUUUCCGACCUCAUUUAAAAUGCCUAGAUAGGUAGAUUAAUUACGCUUCACCUCUUGCCAUGUUUAACCACAUUUAAUAUUGCCGUGUAACUAAUCGAGAUAGAACUGAAUAAUUAACGUGGAGUUUCGUCAAUAUGCAACUCGUUGCAUAUUAAACUUCACUUAAUGUGUGAUGUCUGUUUGUGUGAAUUAUCAUGCCGUGACUUGCAUGUAUUCAGCUGCUCAUGCAUCAUUUGUGUUGUGCAUCGUGUGGUGAAUUCCGUGUGUUGAUUUGUGUUUCCGGUUUGCUUCGUCUCGAUAGAGUUCCGCAGCGUGACGGAUUGUGAGGACCCGGUCGACUACGUCGGUUCGUCUGCUUCACGGAGGCAUCCUUCUUUCAAACGGGAUCUCAGGCAAGAUGAUCAUUUCCCCAGAUACUAUUACUAUCAUUGCCAUGCUAGUUUGAUCGCUUCUAAACAUCAGCCUCUCAACAAUGCCAUGAAAACCUUCAACCUGUUCAACCUAGCAAACCACUGAUUGGCUAUGUUACUGCUUGCUUAACCCUGUUGAUAGCGUUGCUAGUUGCAGGUGCAGUUGCUUCCAUGUGAAAGAAUGGGUUCCUUGUUAUAUCACCAUAUUUAAAUGCUAUUUAAUUUAAUGCACCUAUAUACUUGGUAAAAGGUGGAAGGCUCGGUCUUUCUAGCCUGGUGUUUUGUUCCACCUUUGCCCCCUUAGUUUCCGGCUACCCCGAGGAUAAUUUAAUCAACACCCGAGCCAGUGCUCCUCAUGAGUGUUGGUCCAAAACAGAGCACUGUGCGGGGCCACCACGAGGAAACUCGAGGUUUGGCACUUGUACGCGUCGCUUAUCCGUCGUGUCCUGAGAACGAGAUUCGCGGCUCCUAUCGGGAUCGUCGACACGCCGGGCGGCCUUCCUGGAUUAGUUUUACCUUUGACAAGAUAUCUUGUGCAUCGGGGUUCCGGUGAUGCUUUGGGNNNNNNNNNNNNNNNNNNNNNNNNNNNNNNNNNNNNNNNNNNNNNNNNNNNNNNNNNNNNNNNNNNNNNNNNNNNNNNNNNNNNNNNNNNNNNNNNNNNNNNNNNNNNNNNNNNNNNNNNNNNNNNNNNNNNNNNNNNNNNNNNNNNNNNNNNNNNNNNNNNNNNNNNNNNNNNNNNNNNNNNNNNNNNNNNNNNNNNNNNNNNNNNNNNNNNNNNNNNNNNNNNNNNNNNNNNNNNNNNNNNNNNNNNNNNNNNNNNNNNNNNNNNNNNNNNNNNNNNNNNNNNNNNNNNNNNNNNNNNNNNNNNNNNNNNNNNNNNNNNNNNNNNNNNNNNNNNNNNNNNNNNNNNNNNNNNNNNNNNNNNNNNNNNNNNNNNNNNNNNNNNNNNNNNNNNNNNNNNNNNNNNNNNNNNNNNNNNNNNNNNNNNNNNNNNNNNNNNNNNNNNNNNNNNNNNNNNNNNNNNNNNNNNNNNNNNNNNNNNNNNNNNNNNNNNNNNNNNNNNNNNNNNNNNNNNNNNNNNNNNNNNNNNNNNNNNNNNNNNNNNNNNNNNNNNNNNNNNNNNNNNNNNNNNNNNNNNNNNNNNNNNNNNNNNNNNNNNNNNNNNNNNNNNNNNNNNNNNNNNNNNNNUAUUGUCACUCCGGGGUUGCCGGGUCAUAACACAUAGUAGGUAACUACAACUUGCAAGAUCGAAUCUAAAACACACAUAUAUUGGUGACAACAUAAUAAUUUCACAUCUGAAAUCAUGGCACUCGGGCCCUAGUGACAAGCAUUAAGCAUGGCAAAGUAGUAGCAACAUUAAUCUCAGAACAUAGUGGAUACUGGGGAUCAAUCCCCGUCAAAACUAACUCGAUUACAUGAUAGAUCUCAUCCUACUCAUCAUCGCCCAGCGAGCCUACGAAUAGAUUACUCACGAACGAUGAGGAGCUUCAUGGAAUUGGAGAGGGAAGAAGGUUGAUGAUGACGAUGGCUACGAUUUCCCCUCUCCAGAGCCCAAAACGGACUCCAGAUAUGCCCUCGAGAUGAAGAACAGGAUGUGGUGGCGCCUCCGUAUCGCAAACGCGACGAAAUCUUCUCUCUUGAUUUUUUCGGGAACGAAAGUGAAUUUAUAGAGCUGAGAUUGGGGGCGGCAGAGCCACGUGGGCCCCACAAGCUUGCUAGCCGCCACCAGGGGGUGGCGGCUACAGGGAUUGUGGCCCACUGGCCCAUCCCUCCGGUGGAUCUUUGCGCAGAUAUUUUUCAUAUUUUCCAGAAAUAUUCUCCGUAAAUUUUCAGGAUGUUCUGAGAACUUUCAUUUCUGCACAAAAACAACACCAAGGCAAUUCUGCUAAAAACAGCGUCAGUCCAGGUUAGUUCCAUUCAAAUCAUGCAAAUUAGAGUCCAAAACAAGGGCAAAAGAGUUUGGAAAAGUGGAUACGAUGGAGACGUAUCAACUCCCCAAGCUUAAAACCUUGCUUGUCCUCAAGCAACUCAGUUGACAAACUGAGAGAGAAAGAAAAACUUUGACAAACUCUGUUUGAUCUUAUUGUUGCAACUAUGUCUAACUCAUAACCAGAAUUUCAGCAAGAUCACAAGUUAACCACAUACGCAAGUGACACAAAAGUCUCACGGUAAACUAAUAUCAAUGGCAUAAUCAGCUAACGAGCAAAUAAUAAUGAGUUUCGAAUACCAACACUUCAAUCAAAACAAGCAUGAAGCAAUAUGAAUAGGUGGUAUCUCGCUAGCUCUUUUUGAGACCGCAAAACAUAAAUGCAGAGCACUUUCAAAGAUCCAGGGUUGACUAAACAUUGUAAUUCAUAGCAACGAAGAUCCAGUCAUAGUCAUACUCAAUAUCAAUCAAAAGCAAAGCAUAAAAAUGACAGAGGUGCUCUCUAAUUGGUGCUUAUAAAAGAAGAGGAUGACUCAACAGGAAAAUAAAUAGACAGGCCCUUCGCAGAGGGAAGCAUUGAUUUGUAAAGGUACCAUUUUUCUCAAAAGGACACCAAAGAAAUAAUAAUUUUGAAAACAGAGAUAAUAAUUUUGGGUGGCAUGCUUUCAUUGUCAACGCAAUGACCAAGAGUUCUCAAUAUCUUCCAUGCUACUCAUGCUAUAGGCGGUUCCCAAACAGAAAAUUAACGUUUUAACUCCCCCACCACCAAUCAAUCACACUCCACGGCUAGUCGAAUCCUCGGGUACCGUCCAUACUAACAUCAAUCCGGGGGGAGUCUUGUUUUACAGUUAUGUUUUCGAUUUAAGCGUGGAACUGGGCAUUCCAAUUACCGACCCCUUUCUCAUGAAUGACAGUGAAUAAACACAUGUCGAGGAUAACACUCCUAGCAUGGAAGAUACCAAUAGCCCCCUGUCACCACAUGAGCGGUUCGGGCAUGCAAAACAGAUUAUUUAUUGAAGGUUUAGAGAGUGGCACAUGCAAAUUUACUUGGAACGGCGGGUAGAUACCGCAAAUAGGUAGGUAUGGUGGACUCUCAUGGAAAAACUUUUGGGUUUAUGGAAGUGAUGCACAAGCAGUAUUCCGCUUAGUACAAGUGAAGGCUAGCAAAAGACUGGGAAGCGACCAACUAGAGAGCAAAAACAGUCAUCAAGAUGCAAUGAGUUUGACUAACAUUGAAUGCAAGCAUGAACAAGAUAUAAAUCACCAUGAACACGAACAUCAUAGAGGCUAUGUUGAUUUUGUUUCAACUACAUUUAUGAACUGCGCCAAGUCAAGCCACUUGAAUCAUUCAAAGGAGAAUACCAUCCUAUCAUACUACAUCAUAGUCAUCUCAAAAUCUAUGUUGGCAUUCAAGACAAACUAUUAUAAGCUCUCAGCUACUUAAGCAUGGCAUCAGAAACUAUGAUCUCUAAGUUGUCAUUGCAAACAUGGUUCUCUCACAACAAAGCUGAAUCUGGGAUGACAAGCUAGUCAUAUUUACAAAAACAAAAUAGAUAGAGUCCAUACCAUCUUUUCCAGUCUCAGUCACUUCAUCAUAUAUCAUCAUUAUUGCCUUUCACUUGCACGAUCGAAUGAUGUGAACAAUAAUAAGCGUGCUCAUGCAAUGGACUAAGCUGAAAUCUGCAGGCAAACACAAAGGAGAAGACAAAGUAAUAUGGCUCUUUGAAAGCUAAACAGGUAUGCAUGCAAGAACCACUAAACAUUGAAACCAAUAUCUUCUACCCUGACCCAAAGAAAAGAAAACUAUUUACACAGGAAAGCUCCCAAUAAGCAAAAAGAAGAAAGGAAAAUCUUUUUGGGUUUUCUCAAAAGGACACAAAACAAGAAAACGAAAAUGAACUAGCAUGGAUAAUACAAUGGCAAAGUGUAAACAUCGGCUAACAAAGUGAAAGCAUAAGCAUGAAUGUAAGGUCGGUGAGAACACGUACUCCCCCAAGCUUAUGCUUUUGGCCUAGCUUGGUCUACUCCCAAGGAUGGUCCUCGCGAAACCCAAAAUCAUAAUGGGUGUUAUAUGGGAGUGCUGCAGCCACUACCUGAAUAGCUGCCUCACGUAGUCGAGCAGCCGUCGCUUCCCUCUCAUACUCCUCUGCCUCUCCUAUGGUUAUGUAGUAUCUUCGUUUUACCUGAAAGUCAAAGAAAGCAGGAAGGGUAAUAUGGAAAACACGCUGCCGGUUAAAUAUCAAGCGGUAUAGGAGGGAUCCAUGAUCCCUCUCAAGGAACUGGUAGCGUGUUAGAGCGACACAAUCAAGGUAGGCUGUACGGAGAGGAGGGUCUUCUGAACGGAUGGAUACUCCAAGAAAAUUUUCUAAGCGUGUAGCAUAAAUUUUCCACCAAAGAAAUCCCCCUCAAUGGCAUGAUUGUUCAGCCUCCUUGCUAUUAUAGCUCCCAUAUUGAAGCUCCUAUCACGUGUUACCGCGCUCUUAAGUAUACUAAGGUCGGAAGCGCAUAGGUGACAAUGUGCACCCUUGCCGUUAAUGCACCUACCUAUGAAGAGGGCAAAGUAGUGCAAGGCAGGAAAAUGGAUGCUUCCUAUGGUGGCUUGCGUGAUAUCUCUCAUUUCUCCAACAGUUAUACUAGAGACAAAGUCUCUGACCGAAGACUUAGAAGGAUCAUUAAUACUACCCCCAUCGGGUAUCUUGCAAAUCCUAUUGAAAUCCUCCAAAUCCAUGGCGUAGGAUUUAUCAUACAGAUCAAACAGUAUGGAUGAGUCACGACCAACUGAAACUUUAAAUCUACGCACGAAAGAGGCAGUGAGCAUAACAUACUGUUCACAUUUAUAUGAGAGGAAUUCUUCUAACCCGGCAUUGCACACAAGUGUCUCAAACUCAUCCUUGAAACCUGCUUCGAUCAUGAACUCAUCGGAAGGCCAUUCACAUGGUUGUACCGGUGCGUCCCUUAGUUGAUAAGGUUUGGGCUCCCGAAAAGAAAGACGGGGACCCUUCUUACUUGAGGAACCACCAUGAAACUUCCUCCUGAACAUAAUUUCCUUUUACUGAAAUUUUUGAAGUUCAAGAAAAAAGUGAAUGAAGACCAACCACACCUUGUAGCAACUACUCCUACUAGUGCCUAGAGACCUGUAACAUCCCAAAAUUCUAGAUUUUGGAAUGUUAAUUUUUUUAAAUAGGAUUAGCUAAACUUGCUUGUGUUGCUUGAGUGUGGCUAAAUUUGAUAAGUUUUGAAAAUUUUGGAGUUUAAUUGAAUAUUCAAUGAUAAGGAAUAAAAGGACUUUCCUAGAUAUUCAUUUGGAUUUUUUUUUGAAUUUUGAGAUUAUUCAAAAGUGUUUCAACUUGGAUAUAAGAGAAGGAAACAUGACUCCUUUAAUAUAUUUUUCUCUUGCAGGAUGUUCAAAUUUUAUUUGGUUAUUUCUGUGAUAUUUGAAAAUGUUUGUCGAACAUUUAUAAAUCCCCAAAACAAAUUUUAGAAAAGUGUUAUGUGUGUCUUAUUUAGGUUUUGGUCUUCAAAAAUGCUGACGGUUUUAAAUAUUAGUCACAUAUUGUUUUUAGUAUAUAUUUUCUGGUAUCUUUAUCUAGCUAGAAAUAUAUAUUAUUAUUUUUAUUUGUUUGUUUAAUAGUUGUUUAAAAAAAAUGAGCCAGCGGACCAGGCCAGCGACCGAGCCUACAUGCCAGGGUUGUCCCGUAACCAGCCCCAUCGGUCUAGCGCCUAGCACAGCCUGACUGAGCCUCAUGUUCCCAUUGCACAGCUCGCGAGCGCACGCAUCAGCCAGGGGCUAUGUUCCCAUCGCUCCAGGACCGAACCAGCCAAGCUAGUUGGCGAGUGCCAGGAAUUCCCACUCCCGUAACCGGCCUGGACUCCAUCCCGAGCUAGAGUUCGCACCACGGAGUCCUUUUCUCCAGCGAACAGAGAACUCCAGGAGCCCGAAUCCCCCUGUUGUCGAUUCCUCCUGUUGCACCGAUCAACAUCCGCCCCUCACCAUCGUCUUCGCCGGAGCAACACCGCGGAGGAGCGCCGUUCACCCUCAUCUCGCCGAUCCCCUACAGCAACACCUCGUUAAGCCGGAGUUCGCCCGUCUUCGCCGAAGCCGCCGUUUGUCGAAGUUUGUUCGACCGUCACCGGAACACCACCGCAGAGGAGCCACGCCUGAGACCGACCCGUUUUCCCCUGUUCUUCGUGGUAAGCACGUGCACGUAAUUCGAUUCAUCCAAUCCGCGAAAUUGCUACAGUAUCGAAAUAAACCUAUUUUUAUUCUGUUUUUAGACAGGUCAGAUUCUCGGUAGGAUUUUGAAACCUGUUGAACUUUUUACUCGUAGCUCCGAAUCAGGAAAUUCUUUUUCCUGUGAUCUUGUAUUGACGAGUAGAAUUUGAUAGAACCAAUAGUUUUCAGGUUAUCAUUAUUUAAAAUUUUAGUUGGAUCAGAUUUAGUUCACACCUCUCGGAGGCCAUACUUUGCAAACCGUUCAUCUAAUUUAAUUAUUUCUUUUGCUUUGUGCUCCCACUAUCAUGUAGAUAAUAAAUAUCUACUCAUAUGUUUCUGUUAAUUGAGUUUUAUUUGAAUUCUUUGUUGUUCACUUUAUUUUGAUGUUAUGUGAGUACGGUUUAUUUAUCGAUUCCUUCGUCGAAUAUAUAUAGAUUGUCCGGAGUGUGGAGCGGAUCAGAAUUAAGUGUUAGAGUACUUCAGCACCGUUGAAGGCAAGUUUGCAUGCUCAUCCUAUAUGUAUGCUUUGCAUUGUUAUGAUAUGUUAUGUGUUUGGUGUGAUUCUUAUAUUGCUUGUCGCCAUAUGUGUGUCCUGGAUUGCAUUGUUUAAUUGUGUGCUUGGAUAUGCUAUGGUAGACGUGGACUCGUACCGAGUGUUUUAUGAAGUAGUGAGUGUUUAUAGCUGUAGGCUCGGGGCUUUUGCUCGAGUGAAUGCGUCUAUGGCUGAGCGCUCUAUUGUCCCUAGAGAAUGCGCCAUGACUGAGCGCACUUGAGUUGUCGGGAGUUAAAUCAGGUGAAUGCGUUGAUGGCUGAGCGCUUUGGAGUCCCAUUGAAUGCGUCAUCGACUGAGCGCACUUGAUACAUCUUGAAGAUCUUUGUCAGCUCACCAUAUGUUUGUGAGUUCUCUAUUACGGGUUAAAUUGGUUGUGGCGUCUGAGACCUUGAUCAGUUCAUGAAGGUAGGUGAAGUUAGCUUUAUGCGGAACCAACUUGACUGUUUUGUUUGUCAUACAUUGCUUAUAUAUGUAGGUUUGCAUUGUCAUUGUGUGUGAAUUGCCAAUACAUUCAAUGUAUUGACCCUUGUGGCUGCAACUUAUCAUGUUGCAGGAUAUUCAGAUGAUCAGUGAGAUACAGUAGGGUCGCGAGUCUUCACUCAACCUUUUCGCCGGUGGGCUAUGAGCAUCGUUAUUAUUUCUGCUACCUUUCCGCUGCCAUUAUUUAUUAGAGCUAGCUAAGUGCUAUGUAGAUUGUUAUACUUUGUAAAUUCUGGAUCAUACGUUGUAAUAAAUGAUGCACUUGCUAUUCUGGUAUUCAUCUAUACUGUGUGUGCUAGCGAGUCGAUCCAGGG
rnacentral:lncRNA from 1 species